AGCAGCCGCGGUAAUUCCAGCUCCAAUAGCGUAUAUUAAAGUUGUUGCAGUUAAAAAGCUCGUAGUUGAAUUUCGGGAUUGGCGCAUCGGUCGUGCCUCACGGGGUAUGAACUGGUGCAGUCAAUUUCUCACCUUCUGGAGAACCGCGAUGUCCUUAAUUGGAUGCCGCGGGGAACCAGGACCUUUACUUUGAAAAAAUUAGAGUGUUUAAAGCAGGCAUUUUUGCUUGAAUACAUUAGCAUGGAAUAAUAAAAUAGGACGGCAUGGUUCUAUUUUGUUGGUUUCUAGGACCACCGUAAUGAUUAAUAGGGAUAGUUGGGGGCAUUAGUAUUCAAUUGUCAGAGGUGAAAUUCUUGGAUUUAUUGAAGACUAACUACUGCGAAAGCAUUUGCCAAGGAUGUUUUCAUUAAUCAAGAACGAAAGCUAGGGGAUCGAAGACGAUCAGAUACCGUCGUAGUCUUAACCAUAAACUAUGCCGACUAGGAAUCAGACGAUGUUAAUUUUUUAAUGACUCGUUU
rnacentral:rRNA from 1 species